rnacentral:rRNA from 1 species
AUACGUAGGGGGGCUAGCGUUAUCCGGAUUUAUUGGGUUUAAAGGGUGCGUAGGCGGAGCAUCAAGUCAGCGGUGAAAGUUCGUGGCUCAACCAUGAAAUUGCCGUUGAAACUGUUGUUCUUGAGUGUAGAUGAGGUAGGCGGAAUUCGUAGUGUAGCGGUGAAAUGCUUAGAUAUUACGAAGAACUCCAAUUGCGUAGGCAGCUUACUAGGCUACAACUGACGCUGAGGCACGAAGGUGUGGGUAUC